AUCCAGUUGACGAGUCCCAAAUAGGACGAAAGGUGGGUUCUGGAU
rfam:Schistosoma mattheei strain Denwood, Zambia genome assembly, scaffold: SMTD_scaffold0019146